AAGGGGUGUACAUCACAAAAAGAAC
rnacentral:tRNA from 1 species